rnacentral:lncRNA from 1 species
CAACCCAACAACAGGUUGUCCGAUUUGUCUGAAAAUUUCAGGGCAGAUAGAUCUUGACCUGAUAAACAAUUUUACCCCAUGUCAGAUUUCCUCUAAAUGCUUUGGUUUCAGAUAUAUAAGCCAAAAUCUACAUUUCACCUCUAUGUUCUAUUUUUAGUCAUGGCGGCCAUCUUGGUUGGUUGGCCGGAUCACGCCACACAUUUUUUAAACUAGAUACCCCAAUAAUGAUUGUGGCCAAGUUUGGUUAAAU